GCUGGUAGAGCUCAGCAGUAAAGCAUCUGCCUAGCAUGCAGGAGGCCCUGGGUUUAAUCCCAGUUCCACA
rnacentral:tRNA from 1 species